rnacentral:rRNA from 1 species
AGGACGAACGGCUGGCGGCAUGCUUAACACAUGCAAGUCGAGCGAUGAAGCGUUCUUCGGAAGUGGAUUAGCGGCGGACGGGUGAGUAACACGUGGGUAACCUGCCUCAUAGAGGGGAAUAGCCUUUCGAAAGGAAGAUUAAUACCGCAUAAGAUUGUAGUAUCGCAUGGUACAGCAAUUAAAGGAGCAAUCCGCUAUGAGAUGGACCCGCGUCGCAUUAGCUAGUUGGUGAGGUAACGGCUCACCAAGGCGACGAUGCGUAGCCGACCUGAGAGGGUGAUCGGCCACAUUGGGACUGAGACACGGCCCAGACUCCUACGGGAGGCAGCAGUGGGGAAUAUUGCACAAUGGGGGAAACCCUGACCCAGCAACGCCGCGUGAAGGAAGAAGGCCUUCGGGUUGUAAACUUCUUUUAGUAGGGACGAAGAAAGUGACGGUACCUACAGAAAAAGCAACGGCUAACUACGUG